rnacentral:lncRNA from 1 species
GGUGAAUUCAGGGUAAGGUUGCUACUCCCUACAUCUCAAGACUAAGAAGAAAAUAUCUAAAGUUUCUUCAGAACUACUUUCCAGCUCGCCCAGGUCCACCCACGGGAGCAGGCUAACCCUUUGGUUGGGAGCAGAGGAUGUUUUUUGGUAUUUCUAGUACUGCCCAUGGCAAAUCUGAGCACAGCUUUAGCUCCCUUUUCAAAGCUGCAGGACCCCAUGCCUGCCCGUUCAUACUUGGCCUGUGGCCGCAAGGGCACAAUCUUGCCUCUUUCUCUCUACGCCUCACCUCUCUGUCGCUGUGUCGGAGGAAGCACAGGUUAAGAUGCCAGUUGUAUUUGCGGGCUGUGCUGCUGCAGCGUGAGAGGCAGAGAACGGCAGCGUGGGGACCCAGGGAAAGGAGCGAGAAAUCCAGAAAAACGGCUCCAUCGGGGGCAAGGGCCCUAACUGGGAGCGCUCCUGUGCUGCCGCCAUGGUAUUUCCCACGGCUUAUCCUGAGAAAUAAGCUAACAAACCCCAGGGCACCUCUUGCUCGUCUUAACGUCUGUCCUGGGACUUCCGGUUUGCCAAUCAAGUCAAAUCAUCUCCUCUCCCAGAAGACCCUGCGGCGCCGCCCCGCCCACCCUACCCUAGAACUGCUGGGCAGCUGCUCUUUUUCAGGGUGUGACCGGUCACCCUGCCAUCUCCCCAUCUCCGGUCCCUAGGCCCUUCUUCCUGUGCCCCCUGCCAUCUCCCCAUCUCCGGUCCCUAGGCCCUUCUUCCUGUGCCCCCCCCACCCCUUUCCAAGUGCCAUUGUGGUCCAACUCUUUCUCGGAUCACAUUCUGGGAAUUGAGACAUAGCAGAAAAGAAAGAAGAAAUUAUUUCCUGUGACUUGGUUUCAUAAAAAUAGAAUGGGUUUUAUAAAAAGAAGGACAGGAGUGGCAUGCAUCCACCUAGUAGUUUCUCUAAUUAUAGAUGGUUGGGGUGUCAAGGACAACCAUAUUGGGUGACAGGAGGGUUGCAUCAGACAGGAUGUCUCGUUUCCAACUUCCCUUCUUCGUGCCCUGUGCGUGCCCUAAUCAGCAUUUUAAAAUUACAACCUGGUUGUCAUCCAAAACGGAAGUCUUCCCACUAGCUGAGCGGUGGCUUACAAUUUCAUAUUACCAAAAAUAUUUCAUUCCCAGGGUCUGGCUUUAUUGUCUGAAGUUUUGGUGAUUUCCUCUUUCCUUGGAAAUAAAGGACUAUUUUUCUCCCCAGGGAAAAGACAGACAUUUAAGAAGAAGUGGAAGCUGGAAAAAAGAUACAAAACUGCAAUCUUAUUCCCACUGUGGCGAAGUCAAUAUCCUUUGCUGUUACUAGUAAAAUUGCUCCUUCAAGAGUGCGAAGUAGGAUGUCAGAAGCUCAACAUUUGAAUCAGGAAUCUCCUCUGCUACCUAUAGAACCCAGAACCUAUAAAGAAAAACCAGAGCUGUGUGCAGUGGCAAACACCUAUAAUCCCAGCACUUUGGGAGGCUGAAGCAGGAGAAUCUCAAGUGCAGCACAACCCAAGCAACUUCGAACAUUAGGGAAACCCUGACUCAAAAAUUUAAAAACUAAAUAAAAAGGGGUUGGGGACAGAGUUCAGGGCAAAGGCCCUGGGUUGAAUCACAAAUGACACACACACAAACUAGCCCUGACAGUCAAUGAAUUCAGCAUCUCUGUGAUUAUUUAUAGCCGCUUCCCUGUUUAUAUGAGUGGAUGUCUGGAAAUUUCUUUUAAGGUGGAGCUUCUCAAACUGGCUGCUUACACCUAUCUCAAAGGUCACAAACUAGGCUUUGCAGACCACAGCCAGCCAGGUUAGGGACAGCGUUUCUGAAAUGAAAACUAGGAGUCAUCAUUUCUUAAAAGUACAUAAAAAUACAUAGGUUUAUAAAAAAAAAACAGAUUUCUAUACACAGACUUAUAUAAAAAUAGAUUUACUUAUCUCAGAGGAAAAUAACACCAGAGGAGGCAGCCCAGCCGUCAGAUGUUAUUUCCACUGGGCGGUGGUGGCCGUGGGCAUUGACCCAGGAAGUAGAGAAGCAGCGGGUCGUUCGCAGGCAGGGUGGGGCUGGGAGGGUUAUUGGUUUUCUCCCAAGCCUGGGAACCAGAAUUCCAGUCGAUGUCCCUUCUGUUGCUAUGGCAACAUGGAGACCAAGCACACCUCCCUAGACAGCUGCGAAGAUCUGUUUCCGACAGCACAACCGAGCUUCCUCUUCCCUCCCCAUGAGAUCAGCUUGGGUUCUUCCUGUUUCUUCCCUGCUGCUCCUCUUGCCCCGGCAAGGCACAGCGCCCUGACUCUUGUUCUCUCAAAAGUCCACCGAGGAGAAAGGUGGCCAGCAGCCGCGUGAGCACUUAAAAGGCGCCUCGCGCAAGCUGAGAUGCACAGUGAGUGAAAAACACACCCUGGAUCUUAAACCCUGGGUUCUAAAACAAUGUAAAGCCGGC